GAUGAACGCUGGCGGCGUGCCUAAUACAUGCAAGUCGAGCGAACGGACGAGAAGCUUGCUUUUCUGAUGUUAGCGGCGGACGGGUGAGUAACACGUGGAUAACCUACCUAUAAGACUGGGAUAACUUCGGGAAACCGGAGCUAAUACCGGAUAAUAUUUUGAACCGCAUGGUUCAAAAGUGAAAGACGGUCUUGCUGUCACUUAUAGAUGGAUCCGCGCUGCAUUAGCUAGUUGGUAAGGUAACGGCUUACCAAGGCAACGAUGCAUAGCCGACCUGAGAGGAUGAUCGGCCACACUGGAACUGAGACACGGUCCAGACUCCUACGGGAGGCAGCAGUAGGGAAUCUUCCGCAAUGGGCGAAAGCCUGACGGAGCAACGCCGCGUGAGUGAUGAAGGUCUUUGGAUCGUAAAACUCUGUUAUUAGGGAAGAACAUAUGUGUAAGUAACUGUGCACAUCUUGACGGUACCUAAUCAGAAAGCCACGGCUAACUACGUG
rnacentral:rRNA from 1 species